CUGUAAGACCCUCGAGGACCUUCAUCCCAUCCUCGAGCUUGACCUCCUCCUUGUAUUUAUUUACGAGCUCAGGAGCGAGGUGGCAAGUCUCAAAGUCCUCGGUGAGAGACGGGUCAUCCUCAAGGUCAACCACUUCAGAAGGAGGCCGAGGAGUGACGACCCGAGGAGUGGGAGAUCUAAGGUUCGGUUGCAGAGGGGUCGAGACUUG
rnacentral:lncRNA from 1 species